CGUCCGAGCUUCCAUAAUACCAUCCAGACUUCUCCGAUAAUGAGCUCCUUCAUUCAUCUACCGAGCUGCUCCAAAUACUUUCUGGGCUUCACUAUCAGUCGAUUUUCUACAGUGAUCGACCUAUUCUCUGAAUCUCUUCCAAACUUCUUCCGGCCACGAACGACUUUACUCCGAACUUCUACAGCAAAUGGAUUCCAGAUGAAUUUCUACAACGGACGGGCUCCACCAGUCGGAUCUCUAU
rnacentral:lncRNA from 1 species